rnacentral:lncRNA from 1 species
GAGCUACCGUUUGAUUUUUAUGAGUGGGCUAGAAUGAAAUUUGAAAAAAAUAGGCAGGAUAGGAGUUUUGAGUAAAAAAAAGGCAGGAUGGGACACUUGCAAAAAAGUCAGGACGACAAUUUAGGUAAAUAAAAAGUCAGGAUAAACUAAAAAAAAAAAAAAAAAAGGCAGGACCGAACAGAGUGAAAAAUAAAAAGGCAGGACAAAGAUUACAGCUAAAAAAAUUUAGAAUUUAAGGUAAGUAGUAAGUAAGUAUAUUUUAUUAAGA